GGUUGAUCCUGCCAGUAGUCAUAUGCUUGUCCUAAAGAUUAAGCCAUGCAUGUGUACGUUCAAGCCCUUGUACGGUGAAACUGCGGAUGGCUCAUUAUAUCAGUGAUAAUUUGGUUGGUGGAGAAUACUGUGGAUAACCGUGGUAAUUCUAGAGCUAAUACAUGCAGAUCAGACGCGAGUCUGGCAUUUAUUAGAUAAAGCCUUGGCAGGGGGACAACUCGUUGACCCUCUGCGCAGGUGAGUAAUGAUAACUGGGCGGAUCGCAGAAUACUGCGACGCACCAAGGAAAUUU
rnacentral:rRNA from 1 species